rnacentral:rRNA from 1 species
UACGUAGGGGGCAAGCGUUGUUCGGAAUUACUGGGCGUAAAGGGCGCGUAGGCGGCAUGGCAAGUCGGGAGUGAAAGCCCGGGGCUCAACCCCGGAGGGUCUCUCGAAACUGGCAAGCUAGAGUGCGGAAGAGGCAACUGGAAUUCCCAGUGUAGCGGUGAAAUGCGUAGAUAUUGGGAAGAACACCGGAGGCGAAGGCGGGUUGCUGGGCCGACACUGACGCUGAGGCGCGAAAGCCAGGGGAGCAAACGGG